ACUGAUGUUUCCUGCUUGAGGUGGGGGAGGGGCGUCUUCUCUUCCCGCGUCCGGAACCCCGCGUCCCGAGUUCCCCGUGGUUCUCUCGCACCCAUUGCUCGGCGGCUUUACGCCACAGGGUGAAUUGCGACCUCACCCUGCUCCCCCUGGCUGGACUCUAGCUUCGCCCAGGCCCCCUCCAGAAGCAUGAGUCGGACCUUGUUUCAACAAGCAGAGUAUGUCUGAGUCAGACAUUUUGAGGCACAGACUCAGCCAGAGUGCUGAUCUUAUGAUUGAUGCGAUGACUUCAUUGGG
ensembl:antisense Gm12279 predicted gene 12279